AGAGUUUGAUCCUGGCUCAGGAUGAACGCUAGCGGCAGGCUAAUACAUGCAAGUCGGACGGGAUCUAAAAUUAAGCUUGCUUAAUUUUAGUGAGAGUGGCGCACGGGUGCGUAACGCGUGAGCAACCUACCCAUAUCAGGGGGAUAGCCCGAUGAAAAUCGGAUUAACACCGCACGACACAGCGACUCGGCAUCGAGAUGUUGUUAAAUAUUUAUAGGAUAUGGAUGGGCUCGCGUGACAUUAGCUAGUUGGUAAGGUAACGGCUUACCAAGGCAACGACGUCUAGGGGCUCUGAGAGGAGAAUCCCCCACACUGGUACUGAGACACGGACCAGACUCCUACGGGAGGCAGCAGUAAGGAAUAUUGGUCAAUGGAGGGAACUCUGAACCAACCAUGCCGCGUGCAGGAUGACUGCCCUAUGGGUUGUAAACUGCUUUUGUCCAGGAAUAAACCCCUCUACGUGUAGAGGCUUGAAUGUACUGGAAGGAUAAGGAUCGGCUAACUCCGUGCCAGCAGCCGCGGUAAUACGGAGGAUCCGAGCGUUAUCCGGAUUUAUUGGGUUUAAAGGGUGCGUAGGCGGCCUAUUAAGUCAGGGGUGAAAGACGGCAGCUUAACUGUCGCAGUGCCUUUGAUACUGAUGGGCUUGAAUGUGGUUGAAGAUGGCGGAAUGAGACAAGUAGCGGUGAAAUGCAUAGAUAUGUCUCAGAACUCCGAUUGCGAAGGCAGCUGUCUAAGUCAUUAUUGACGCUGAUGCACGAAAGCGUGGGGAUCGAACAGGAUUAGAUACCCUGGUAGUCCACGCCCUAAACGAUGAUAACUCGAUGUUGGCGAUAUACCGUCAGCGUCUUAGCGAAAGCGUUAAGUUAUCCACCUGGGGAGUACGCCCGCAAGGGUGAAACUCAAAGGAAUUGACGG
rnacentral:rRNA from 1 species